CCCUUAGAUGUUCUGGGCUGCACGCGCGCUACACUGACGGAGCCAGCGAGUAUAAACCUUGGCCGAGAGGUCUGGGAAAUCUUGUGAAACUCCGUCGUGCUGGGGAUAGAGCAUUGUAAUUAUUGCUCUUCAACGAGGAAUUCCUAGUAAGCGCAAGUCAUCAGCUUGCGUUGAUUACGUCCCUGCCCUUUGUACACACCGCCCGUCGCUACUACCGAUUGAAUGGCUUAGUGAGGCUUCCGGAUUGGUUUAGAGAAGGGGGCAACUCCAUCUUGGAACCGAGAAGCUAGUCAAACUUGGUCAUUUAGAGGAAGUAAAAGUCGUAACA
rnacentral:rRNA from 1 species